UGCAAGUCGAGCGGACCGACGGGAGCUUGCUCCCUUAGGUCAGCGGCGGACGGGUGAGUAACACGUGGGUAACCUGCCUGUAAGACUGGGAUAACUCCGGGAAACCGGGGCUAAUACCGGAUGCUUGAUUGAACCGCAUGGUUCCAAUCAUAAAAGGUGGCUUUCAGCUACCACUUACUGAUGGACCCGCGGCGCAUUAGCUAGUUGGUGAGGUAACGGCUCACCAAGGCGACGAUGCGUAGCCGACCUGAGAGGGUGGUCGGCCACACUGGGACUGAGACACGGCCCAGACUCCUACGGGAGGCAGCAGUAGGGAAUCUUCCGCAAUGGACGAAAGUCUGACGGAGCAACGCCGCGUGAGUGAUGAAGGUUUUCGGAUCGUAAAACUCUGUUGUUAGGGAAGAACAAGUACCGUUCGAAUAGGGCGGCACCUUGACGGUACCUAACCAGAAAGCCACGGCUAACUACGUGCCAGCAGCCGCGGUAAUACGUAGGUGGCAAGCGUUGUCCGGAAUUAUUGGGCGUAAAGCGCGCGCAGGCGGUUUCUUAAGUCUGAUGUGAAAGCCCCCGGCUCAACCGGGGAGGGUCAUUGGAAACUGGGGAACUUGAGUGCAGAAGAGGAGAGUGGAAUUCCACGUGUAGCGGUGAAAUGCGUAGAGAUGUGGAGGAACACCAGUGGCGAAGGCGACUCUCUGGUCUGUA
rnacentral:rRNA from 1 species